rnacentral:tRNA from 1 species
GAGCCUGAGUGGUUUAACGAGAACUGCUAAUUACUCGCCACUGUGGUUCAAUUCCACAGCAGGCUCG